rnacentral:misc_RNA from 1 species
CGCACAUUGCGCCCAUUAGUAUUCUAGUGGGCAUGCCUGUUCGAGCGUCAUUUCAACCCUUAAGCCUAGCUUAGUGUUGGGAGUCUACUGUAUAGUAGUUCCCUAAAUUGAACGGCGGAUCUGCAGCAUCCUCUGAGCGUAGUAAAUCUUUUUCUCGCUUUUGUCAGGUGCUGUGGCUCUUGCCGCUAAACCCCCAAUUUUUUAAUGGUUGACCUCGGAUCAGGUAGGAAUACCCGCUGAACUUAA